rnacentral:rRNA from 1 species
AUCAAAACGACUCUCGGCAACGGAUAUCUCGGCUCUUGCAUCGAUGAAGAACGUAACGAAAUGCGAUACUUGGUGUGAAUUGCAGAAUCCCGUGAACCAUCGAGUCUUUGAACGCAAGUUGCGCCCAAAGCCAUUAGGCCGAGGGCACGCCUGCCUGGGUGUCACAC